GAUUCUAGAGAGGGAGAAUGAGCGAGAGCAUCCUUCUGGAGGAAGUCCCUAUCUGUAAUAUUUAGUUUUGCUUACUGUGCAAAGUAAACAUGCUCAUAUGAGUCAUUUAAAAGCUUGGCUUUCUCUGGAAAUGCUCUAACUUGGCCGUUUGAGUAUCUAGCUGGUGUAUAGGGAGACACUGGCUCUCAUAUACAACACCACCACGUUUCAUUCUGCAGCAGGCUCCAGCAUCAGCAUCAGCACGCACCGUCAUUAUCAGGUGCAGGUCGAGGAUUUGGUACACGGAGGAAGAAGACAUUCGGAAGUAAUGCUUGUAGUGUCCGGGCACAAUCGAGCGUGUUGAAUGAAGAAGCGGCUACCGGGACUGCUCGGUGUUCUUUUCCCGUCCAGACGAGCUUGUCACUCGGAGGAACAUGCCAGCCGGGCGGGUAAUGCAGCCUCCCUGGCUGGAGGAGUAAACGGGACCGCGCGUCGUCCGAGACAGAAAGAUGGAGCGUUUUUUUCUGCUGCUUCUCAGCUGUUUGGGCGUCUCGCGGGGCUCGGCGGAUACCUUGUCCCCCCCUGUCAAUGUUACCAUCAAAGCAGUGAAAGCUAACUCUGCUCUGGUGACAUGGGACAUCCCCGAAGGAGACCCUGUCAUUGGCUUUGCCAUCACACAGCAGAAGAAAGACGUGCGUAUGCUCCGAGUCAUCCAGGAAGUCAACACCACCACACGCUCCUGUGCAUUAUGUGACUUAGAGGAAGAGACGGACUACAUCGUGCACGUCCAGUCCAUCAGCAUGUUCGGGACGAGCCCAGAAAGCGAACCUUUACGCUUCCGAACACCCAAGGAGGCCGACACUCAGGCUUCUAAGAAUAAAGACGAAGAGACUAUGGAGGAAGUGGGCCAGACCAACCAGUUGAGGGCGGGGGAGCUCAUCAUCAUUGUUGUGGUGCUUAUCAUGUGGGCAGGCGUGAUCGCUCUCUUCUGUCGCCAGUAUGACAUCAUCAAAGACAAUGAGCCCAACAACAACAAGGACAAAGCCAAAAACUCAUCAGAGUGCAGCACUCCUGAACACCCGACAGGGGGUCUGUUGCGCAGUAAGGUAUAACCCACCCACCCCCUUCCUCCCCCGAGGUGCCUCCCCCUUCCCCCUUCAACAGCGACGGGCAGUUCUCCAAGAACAACAAUCGGAUGCCAUCUGUCAACAUCAUUGAAGUGUGAGUGUCUUCUGCCUGCGCAUACUACAGACUGUGUGUUCUCGCAAAUCUGCUCGUCAGAAUGCAUCGCUUACGUUUCCCUCGCCUCGGGCCUGCCGACGAAGCAAAGCUUGCUGGACUCCGAGGAUUUAGGAACAACUCGGCCAGGCUGAGAUGAGAACCCACAGUGGAGCGACUGCAGGGAGAGUUGAGCCGAUCUGCCGUGCUUAACAAGCACCGUAUGGUGGGAGAGGCAGAGAUUAGGUGCCAAAUGGUCCUGGCGGCGGACAGACAGAAUGCUGAUAAAGGAACCCCAAGGACCAACAUCGAUAAGCAGAGCCGGAAAGCUUUUCUUCUCUGUCUGGAAAUGGGUCGCCAUACAGUAUGUGGGUACUUCCCAUUGUGUCUAUAUAUUCCUUUGUGGUGUGAUUUAAUGCCAUCCUCUCGAUGUUGUUUUGUCCUAACAUUAUGUAAUCUUGACUUUUUUUUUUUAUGAGUAAGGGUUAAGUGUAGUUUUGUUACAUAAUGUACUGCCAGUACCGGUACAUCUCAUGGAGGAAGGAGAAGAACUGCGGGGAAUAAACGUCUGGCGAGCUUGUUUCCCCCCUCAGGGAAUCCAGACAGCACCUGUCUUGAGUUUGGAGGAGUUUCUCAAAAGCGAGCUGCGACGACGCCAUAGCAGGAAGGCUCACCGCUGAAGUCACGUGAUUCUUUACAUUCCACAUCCUGAAUGAGCUGUCUUUAUUUAUCUCGAAGGGUGGUGGAUACCUGCAUUCUGGGUAAAAAAAAAAAGACUUGACCCAGUGUGCCUCAUUGAUUUGAAUUUUAAAAGAGUCUACACAGGGAAGUGGCCUUUGUAGAGACACAAGAGGAGAUUCCUUAAGCAAUAACAACUUCAAGCCCCGACACAUGACGGGCAAGGACUUGAUGAGGUCACAUUCUGUAGAAGAAAAAAAACAACACACAAAUGUAACCUC